AACUUUCAGCAACGGAUCUCUUGGCUCUCGCAUCGAUGAAGNACGCAGCGAAGAUGCGAUAAGUAAUGUGAAUUGCAGAAUUCAGUGAAUCAUUGAAUCUUUGAACGCACCUUGCGCCCUUUGGCUAUUCCGAAGGGCAUGCCUGUUUGAGUAUCA
rnacentral:rRNA from 1 species